rnacentral:rRNA from 1 species
UACGUAGGGACCGAGCGUUGUCCGGAAUCAUUGGGCGUAAAGAGCGUGUAGGCGGCCACUUAAGUCCUGCGUGAAAUCUUGCGGCUCAACCGCAAGCGGUCGUGGGAAACUGGGUGGCUAGAGUGCGAGAGAGGAGAGUGGAAUUCCUGGUGUAGCGGUGGAAUGCGCAGAUAUCAGGAAGAACACCCGUGGCGAAGGCGGCUCUCUGGAACGCAACUGACGCUGAGACGCGAAAGCGUGGGGAGCAAACAGG